rnacentral:rRNA from 1 species
CGGGAAGAGCUCAAAUUUGAAAUCUGGCGGUUCUGCCGUCCGAGUUGUAAUCUGGAGAAGCGUUUUCCGUGCCGGACCGUGUACAAGUCUCUUGGAACAGAGCGUCAUAGAGGGUGAGAAUCCCGUCUUUGACACGGACUCCCGGUGCUCUGCGAUGCGCUCUCGAA